GUAUAACCCCAGGAUUCUGCACUUGCCCAAGGGCGAGGUGCAAAUCAAAAACUACGCACAACUGAACACCGAGAUCAGGAUCCCGACUCAGAUUGAAAAAGCAGAGGAUGGUCACUGCCUUCCAGGUCUGAGGCUGUCUCCCAGAAACUUCAUUCCUCGCUUCGCCUUGGUUCUCCAUCACUUUCUGAGUCCUACAGGAGGAAAGUGCUAUUGAAGAUGAGGCGCGUAUGGCGUGAAGUUCUGGGGCUGGGAGAAGCUGCCCCGCUACUUCCGGGUGGCCUUGCCUGCAGGGAGCAGUUUGUAUUCCCCGUUGUUUCUCCUGUUGACGACAUCUGUGCCUCUUAUCUGGGAGAAGAUCAGAGGAAACUGCCGCCUCCCCCAAGCACGUGUUUUACUGCUCCCCAUUUCACAACCUAGUGCUGUCCACUUGCAUGGGAUGUUUCUUUUCCAUCACAAUGCUCUGAGAUAACGAAGUCGAGGGAAGUUUGUGCAGCCCUCCAGACCCUCCAGAUUUCAAAGGAAAGCCCACCGCUGCUGGUCUGGGGGAGCUGAUGGCCUAUUCAUGGAUGAGAUGGACUAAGGACAGUGGGAAGCACAAUGGACCAACAGUAUUGUUGGAGGGGACUGCGUGAGGAAGCAGGAGCCUAAACAACACUCUCCAGAUACUGCGUGAA
rnacentral:lncRNA from 1 species